rnacentral:rRNA from 1 species
CAAUCGAACCCGGAGAUAGCUGGUUCUCCUCGAAAUAGCUUUAGGGCUAGCCUCGAUACAGAUUUGCGGAGGUAGAGCACUGAAUUUCCUAGGGGGCGUCAAAGCCUACCGAAGAAUAUCAAACUCCGAAUGCCGCGUAAUCGAUUAUCGGGAGUCAGACUGCACGAGAUAAGUUGGGCGGUCAAAAGGGAAAGAGCCCAGACCUUCAGUUAAGGUCCCCAAGUGCGCGUUAAGUGGAAAAGGAUGUGGGAUUUCGAAGACAACCAGGAUGUUGGCUCAGAAGCAGCCAUCCAUUCAAAGAGUGCGUAAUAGCUCACUGGUCGAGAGGUCCUGCGCCGAAAAUGUCCGGGGCUGAAACGCGCCACCGAAACUAAGGAACCGAAAGGUUGGUAGAGGAGCAUUGCAUGCGGGAAGAAGCAGUACCGUAAGGAGCUGUGGACUGCAUGGAAGAGAGAAUGCCGGAAUGAGUAGCGAGAUAGAGGUGGGAAUCCUCUAGGCCGAAUAUCCAAGGUUUCCAGAGUAAAGCUGAUCUGCUCUGGGUAAGUCGGGGCCUAAGGCGAGGUCGAAAGACGUAGUCGAUGGAUAACAGGUUGAAAUUCCUGUACUAUCCUGUAACAGAACUGUGGGGACACAGGCAGAGAGCGUGAGCCGGGAAUGGAAAGACCGGUACAAGCGAGGUAGGAGAAGAGUUGGCAAAUCCGCUCUUCAAUCUGAAGACGUGAUGUGGACCGAAAAGAAGUAGGGAAGCACGUGAGCUGACUGUCAAGAAAAGCCGCUAUUGUUUGCAGGAUACCCGUACCGUAAACCGACACAGGUGGAUGAGGAGAGAAUCCUAAGGCCGACGGAAGAAGCAUUGUUAAGGAACUCGGCAAAAUGACCCCGUAACUUCGGGAGAAGGGGUGCCUGCGAGAGCAGGCCGCAGAGAAUAGGCUCAAGCAACUGUUUAGCAAAAACACAGGUCUAUGCAAAACCGAAAGGUGAGGUAUAUGGGCUGACGCCUGCCCGGUGCUGGAAGGUUAAGAGGAGAGGUUAGCGCAAGCGAAGCUUUGAAUUUAAGCCCCAGUAAACGGCGGCCGUAACUAUAACGGUCCUAAGGUAGCGAAAUUCCUUGUCGGGUAAGUUCCGACCCGCACGAAAGGCGUAAUGAUUUGAGCGCUGUCUCGACAAUGCAUCCGGUGAAAUUGAAGUACCAGUGAAGAUGCUGGUUACCUGCGCCAGGACGGAAAGACCCCAUGGAGCUUUACUCCAGCUUGAUACUGGGAUUCGGUAUUGCAUGUACAGGAUAGGUGGGAGGCUAGGAAAUGGUAACGCCAGUUGCCAUGGAGCCACUGUUGGGAUACCACCCUUGCAGUACUGGGUUUCUAACCAGCAGCCGUGAUCCGGCUGGGGGACAAUGUCAGGUGGGGAGUUUGACUGGGGCGGUCGCCUCCGAAAGGGUAUCGGAGGCGCUCAAAGGUUCCCUCAGAAUGGUCGGAAACCAUUCGAAGAGUGCAAAGGCAGAAGGGAGCUUGACUGCGACACCGACGGGUGGAGCAGGUACGAAAGUAGGACUUAGUGAUCCGGUGGUAUAAAGUGGGAUUGCCAUCGCUCAACGGAUAAAAGCUACCCUGGGGAUAACAGGCUUAUCACUCCCAAGAGUUCACAUCGACGGAGUGGUUUGGCACCUCGAUGUCGGCUCAUCGCAUCCUGGGGCUGUAGUAGGUCCCAAGGGUUGGGCUGUUCGCCCAUUAAAGCGGUACGCGAGCUGGGUUCAGAACGUCGUGAGACAGUUCGGUCCCUAUCCGGCGUGGGCGUAGGAUAUUUGAGAGGAGCUGUCCUUAGUACGAGAGGACCGGGAUGGACUGGCCGCUGGUGUAUCUGUUGUCUUACCAAAGGCAUAGCAGAGUAGCCAAGCCGGGAAGGGAUAAACGCUGAAGGCAUCUAAGCGUGAAGCCCCCCUCAAGAUGAGAUAUCCCAUUCGAAAGAAGUAAGACCCCUUGAAGACGACGAGGUAGAUAGGGCAGAGGUGGAAGUGCCGUAAGGCAUGGAGCUGACUGUUACUAAUCGGUCGAGGGCUUGACCUG